CUGCCUGUGUUGGUCCACAGGAAGCAGUCCCUUCACUUGAACUUCUCGGCCUUCUGGACGACUGAUGCUGCCCGAACUCGAGGACCCCCAUCACCCUCGCUGAGCCCAGGGUAAUGCUGCAGGUAGCAGAUACCUUUUCUGGAUGGAUUGAAGCCUUUCCCACCUCCAGGGAAACCGCAGACACGGUGCCCUCCCUCUUAAUCCAGGAGAUUAUCCCUCAUUUCGGCUUACCUGGAAACAUUCAGUCAGACAACGGUCCGGCGUUUACAGCCCGGGUGGUCCAGUAAGUCGCCAAGUCUCUCAACAUCUCCUGGAAACUACACAUCCCCUACCACCCUCAGUCGUCGGGUAAAGUUGAACGGGCUCACGGCAUCCUCAAGAAUCAUUUGGCCAAACUCACCAUAGAGGUAAAACUCUCCUGGCCCACACUCCUACCUCUUGCUCUAGCCCGGAUCCGAGCCACCCCAUGGGAGCCAACAGGUCUCAGUCCCUUUGAGUUGCUAUAUGGCAGGCCUUUUCUAGUUUCUCACCAUCUCCCGGUACAACCACGUCCUCUGGCUUC